rnacentral:tRNA from 1 species
AGGAGCUUAAGUUAAUAAAACUUCGGGUCUUCAAAACCUGCAUUAAGCCAAGAGGCUUAGCUCUUG